UAUCACUAAUCAAGCCCGGCUUGCUGUUGGACCUCUUGUCGUUAAAAGACAGGUCCUAAAGAUAAUGACGGCGUCAGUUGGACCCUAGAUGCAACGAGCUUUAACUAGCACGCAUUUUAGUUGGCCCUUUUGACCCGGUCUUUUUAUAACCAUUUUCUAAGGUUGACCUCGGAUCAGGUAGGAAUACCCGCUGAACUUAA
rnacentral:misc_RNA from 1 species